rnacentral:rRNA from 1 species
GGGGGCAACCCUGGUGGCGAGUGGCGAACGGGUGAGUAAUACAUCGGAACGUGCCCAGUCGUGGGGGAUAACUACGCGAAAGCGUAGCUAAUACCGCAUACGAUCUACGGAUGAAAGCGGGGGAUCGCAAGACCUCGCGCGAUUGGAGCGGCCGAUGGCAGAUUAGGUAGUUGGUGGGGUAAAGGCCUACCAAGCCUGCGAUCUGUAGCUGGUCUGAGAGGACGACCAGCCACACUGGGACUGAGACACGGCCCAGACUCCUACGGGAGGCAGCAGUGGGGAAUUUUGGACAAUGGGCGCAAGCCUGAUCCAGCCAUUCCGCGUGCAGGAUGAAGGCCCUCGGGUUGUAAACUGCUUUUGUACGGAACGAAACGGCCUUUUCUAAUACAAGGGGCUAAUGACGGUACCGUAAGAAUAAGCACCGGCUAACUACGUGCCAGCAGCCGCGGUAAUACGUAGGGUGCAAGCGUUAAUCGGAAUUACUGGGCGUAAAGCGUGCGCAGGCGGUGAUGUAAGACAGAUGUGAAAUCCCCGGGCUCAACCUGGGAACUGCAUUUGUGAUUGCAUCGCUG